GAUGAACGCUGGCGGCGUGCCUAAUACAUGCAAGUCGAGCGAACAGACGAGGAGCUUGCUCCUCUGACGUUAGCGGCGGACGGGGGAGUAACACGUGGAUAACCUACCUAUAAGACUGGGAUAACUUCGGGAAACCGGAGCUAAUACCGGAUAAUAUAUUGAACCGCAUGGUUCAAUAGUGAAAGACGGCUUUGCUGUCACUUAUAGAUGGAUCCGCGCCGCAUUAGCUAGUUGGUAAGGUAACGGCUUACCAAGGCAACGAUGCGUAGCCGACCUGAGAGGGUGAUCGGCCACACUGGAACUGAGACACGGUCCAGACUCCUACGGGAGGCAGCAGUAGGGAAUCUUCCGCAAUGGGCGAAAGCCUGACGGAGCAACGCCGCGUGAGUGAUGAAGGUCUUCGGAUCGUAAAGCUCUGUUAUUAGGGAAGAACAAAUGUGUAAGUAACUAUGCACGUCUUGACGGUACCUAAUCAGAAAGCCCCGGCUAACUACGUG
rnacentral:rRNA from 1 species